rnacentral:rRNA from 1 species
AUGAAUUUGCUAAUAAGUUGGAACUGCCGGGGAGGGGGGAAUUCCCGGACAAUUCGUGAGCUUGCGACCCUGGUGAAGUCGCAUUCCCCCAGACUUGUGUUUUUGUGUGAAACUAGGCAGAAGAAAGCUAGAAUGAGAAGAAUUCGUGGUAGGCUCGGUCUUAAAGGAUUUGCAGGUGUGGAUAAUAAUGGUAUGAGUGGAGGUUUAUCUCUAUUUUGUCAUGAAUCUUGUACGGUGGACAUAAUUGAUAAUGAGGAUUGGUACAUUGAUGCAUUAAUCGCAUUACAUGACGGGGCGGAGUAG